rnacentral:rRNA from 1 species
GCCUGCCCUGUGACCCCAAGUUUAACGGCCGCGGUAUCCUGACCGUGCAAAGGUAGCGCAAUCACUUGUCCCUUAAAUGAGGACCUGUAUGAAUGGCAUAACGAGGGCUUAACUGUCUCCUUUCCCCAGCCAAUGAAAUUGAUCUUCCCGUGCAGAAGCGGGAAUACUAACAUAAGACGAGAAGACCCUAUGGAGCUUUAGACACUAGGACAGACCAUGUCAGCUACCCCCACAAAGAAGUAGUAAUAAUUGAACCCCUGUUCUCCGUCUUCGGUUGGGGCGACCACGGGGAAUAAAAAAACCCCCACGUGGAUCGGGAGUACACCACUCCUAUAACCACGAGCCACCGCUCUAAAUAACAGAAUUUCUGACCAAAAAGAUCCGGCAACGCCGAUCAACGGACCCAGUUACCCUAGGGAUAACAGCGCAAUCCUCUUCAAGAGUCCAUAUCGAC